GAUGAACGCUGGCGGUCUGCUUAACACAUGCAAGUCGAACGAAAUCCUUCGGGAUUUAGUGGCGGACGGGUGAGUAACACGUGAGAAUCUGGCUUCUGGAUGGGGACAACAGUGGGAAACCGCUGCUAAUACCCAAUGCGCCGCAAGGUAAAAGAUUUAUCGCCAGAAGAUGAGCUCGCGUCCGAUUAGUUAGUUGGUGGGGUAACAGCCUACCAAGACAGCGAUCGGUAGCUGGUCUGAGAGGAUGAGCAGCCACACUGGGACUGAGACACGGCCCAG
rnacentral:rRNA from 1 species